GAUAAUAAUCGGGUAUAAGGCAGACACCGAAGGCGCGGGAUAGCAUUUAAGAAAGUAUCGGUAGGGGAGCAUACUCACAGCGUCGAAUGGUGUACGUAAGUUAUCCUGGAGCGGUGAGUAAAGCAAAUGUAGGAAUAAGUAACGAUAAGGAGGGUUAGAUUCCCUCCCGCUGUAAGACCAAGGUUUCCCGGGCAAUGCCAAUCAGCCCGGGGUCAGUCGGGUCCUAAGUCUAAGCCGAACGGCGAUGGCGAUGGCAGAGACGGUUAAUAUUCCGUCACUGCCGCAUGGGGCGACGUGGAGACGGAGCAGUGAAACCACCGCGGGGCGACGGAAGUCCCCGUUGAAGAGUGUAGGUGUUGAGGAUGGCAGGCAAAUCCACCGUCCGAGCUGAACUUGAUAGUAUGGAGUCUUCUUCGGAAGAAUCCAAUAGUGUGGGUAAUCAUACUCCCGAGAAAAUCCGCUAAGCUUAACCCAUGCGGCACCCGUACCGCAAACGGACACACGUGGUCGGGUAGAACAUACUGAGGCGUUGAGAGAUUCAUGGUUAAGGAACUAGGCAAAUUGACCCUGUAACUUCGGGAUAAAGGGUCCUCGUGAAUAGCGAGGCGCAGAGAAUAGGUCCAGGCAACUGUUUAACAAAAACACAGGGCUGUGCAAACUCGAAAGAUGACGUAUACAGCCUGACACCUGCCCGGUGCCGGAAGGUUAAGAGGAGAUGUCACUAGCAAUAGGAAGCAUUGAAUUGAAGCCCCGGUAAACGGCGGCCGUAACCAUAACGGUCCUAAGGUAGCGAAAUUCCUUGUCGGGUAAGUUCCGACCUGCACGAAUGGUGUAAUGAUCCGGACGCUGUCUCAACCAUGAGCUCAGUGAAAUUGUAGUAUCGGUGAAGAUGCCGAUUACCCGCGAUGGGACGAAAAGACCCCGUGAACCUUUACUACAGCUUAGCAUUUACCUUGGUCAUCCGAUGUGUAGGAUAGGCCGGAGGCUUCGAAGCGGGAGCGCCAGCUUUCGUGGAGCCAUCCUUGAAAUACGGCCCUUUGGCUGUCUGAGGUCUAACGCGUGAAACGCGGACACUGCUUGGUGGGUAGUUUGACUGGGGUGGUCGCCUCCAAAAGCGUAACGGAGGCUUCCAAAGGUGCCCUCGGGUCGAUUGGUAACCGACCUCAAAGAGUGCAAUGGCAUAAGGGCGCUUGACUGGGAGGCAGACAUGCCGAGCAGGCAGGAAACUGGGGCAUAGUGAUCCGGCGGAUGUGUAUGGAAACUCCGUCGCUCAAAGGAUAAAAGGUACUCCGGGGAUAACAGGCUGAUCCCCCCCAAGAGCUCAUAUCGACGGGGUGGUUUGGCACCUCGAUGUCGGCUCGUCACAUCCUGGGGCUGGAGAAGGUCCCAAGGGUUGGGCUGUUCGCCCAUUAAAGUGGCACGCGAGCUGGGUUCAGAACGUCGUGAGACAGUUCGGUCUCUACCUAUCGUGGGCGUGGGAGUUUUGAGUGGUGCCGUCACUAGUACGAGAGGACCGUGAUGGACAGACCUCCGGUUUACCAGUUGUGCCGCCAGGCGCACCGCUGGGUAUCUGAGUCUGGAUUGGAUAAGCGCUGAAAGCAUCUAAGUGCGAAGCCAGCCGCAAGAUGAGAACUCCAUUGAGGGUCGUCAGAGACGAUGACGUUGAUAGGAUGCAGGUGUAAAGACAGCGAUGUCAAAGCCGAGCAUUACUAAUUGCUC
rnacentral:rRNA from 1 species